rnacentral:rRNA from 1 species
CCUGGUGGUUCUAGCGAGGUGGCCGCACCCGAUCCCAUUCCGAACUCGGCCGUGAAACGCCUCUGCGCCUAUGAUACUUCGUCUUAAGACGCGGGAAAGUCGGUCGCUGCCAGGU